UACAGAGGAUGCAAGCGUUAUCCGGAAUGAUUGGGCAUAAAGCGUCUGUAGGUGGCUUUUUAAGUCCGCCGUCAAAUCCCAGGGCUCAACUCUGGACAGGCGGUGGAAACUACCAAGCUGGAGUACGGUAGGGGCAGAGGGAAUUUCCGGUGGAGCGGUGAAAUGCGCAGAUAUCAGGAGGAACACCGGUGGCGAAGGCGGGUCUCUGGGCCACUACUGACGCUGAGGAGCGAAAGCGUGGGGAGCGAACAGG
rnacentral:rRNA from 1 species